rnacentral:rRNA from 1 species
UGGGGAAUAUUGCACAAUGGGCGCAAGCCUGAUGCAGCCAUGCCGCGUGUAUGAAGAAGGCCUUCGGGUUGUAAAGUACUUUCAGUAGGGAGGAAGGUGUGAGCGUUAAUAGCGUUCACAAUUGACGUUACCUACAGAAGAAGCACCGGCUAACUCCGUGCCAGCAGCCGCGGUAAUACGGAGGGUGCAAGCGUUAAUCGGAAUUACUGGGCGUAAAGCGCACGCAGGCGGUUUGUUAAGUUGGAUGUGAAAUCCCCGGGCUUAACCUGGGAACUGCAUCCAAGACUGGCAAGCUAGAGUCUCGUAGAGGGAGGUAGAAUUCCAGGUGUAGCGGUGAAAUGCGUAGAGAUCUGGAGGAAUACCGGUGGCGAAGGCGGCCUCCUGGACGAAGACUGACGCUCAGGUGCGAAAGCGUGGGGAGCAAACAGG